ensembl:lncRNA
CGCAACUGUAUGUCACUCAUCUUGAAUGAUUCAGGAACUUACAAUACUGAAUAAUAGCAGCCUACUAUUGGGCAUGAAGAGUUCUGCGGGUUUGUUUUGCUUUUCAAAACGGGCGUGUUUAGAAUUAUUGUCUUUUUUAUUCUACAGAUGCCUCAACGGUCGAUGGAGAAAUGUGCCCGCCUUUGACUGCUUAAUACAAAGUGUUCGGGCUUCAGUGCUGUAAAAUAAUCAAUGGAUUGCAUAAGUCCCAUGCAGAAUAAGAGAAGACAUAGUGGAGACCUGGAGCAGUGGCACAACCAGUCGAAAAGGCAGUGUAAUGGACUCGGAGGCCGUGUCCAGGUGGAAUAUGGUGCGGUAAUGGACACUCCAGUGGACACGCGGGAUACCCAAAAUCACAGCCCUCAAAAUGGACAUGGUGCCAACAUCCCCGGCAUGCAGGUGUUACCCGCCCCAGGACGUGGGGCAGGACAGUAUUGCCCCAGGUGUAUGGCAGGUGAACCUGUGAGUAAUAUUUGAUAUUUUGUGGGUUACAAAUAAUAGUCCCCUCUUCUUUUAUGUCAAAAGGGUGUGUGGAUAACAUGCCACUCUUUAUAAAAUGACACAUUCAUAAAAAACAUUUUGGUGCAAUUUUUACACACACGUUUACUUAGCUAUCUAAAUGAGAACAUUACAUAGACUUCUAUUGUUUUUAUAUACAGAUAGUUAUACACUAUUUAACCUAAACCUAACCCUACCCCUCACAGAAAUAUUUCUGCAUUUUUACAAUUUCAAAAAAACUUUGUUUAUUGGUUUUACAAAUGAGGACGUCCCCAAAUGGAGGUUUUUGGCGAUUUGUGUCAGGUUUUGCUACCUUUUGGGUACAAAUAUGUCCCCAAAAUAUGGUUAAGUUGGUACACACACACUCAAUCUACCCACAGCACUUUCACCGGACGGUGUUGAUACAAGCAAUAUGAUUGCCUUUGGAAAUUGUGUACUUCCUGCAAAUCAAUAUUUAUUCAUGACAAGAAAGAAAUGCACAUUUUGAACGGUUUUCCCGCAGGCCAGAGUACCUACCAGCUGAUCUAACCACUACGACAUGGGAACAGUCAGCAUAUAUGAAUAUCAAUUUGCGUAGGGUUAAUGAACAUUAUACAUACAAUGCAUUGAGUGUUGAGUGAAGUUGACCUGUGUCACAUCAAUGUUUCUCUCUGUCUCUGACAGGGCCAUAUAAACCACAUCAUGAGGUAUUGAUCAGCAUUGCCGAUGGCUCCUGGAGAAAAUGAAUCGACUGAAUAAACGGCCGAUAUAGAGAAGCAAUCUGCAGUUUAUCCGUACCGUGUGGGGUUUUCCCGCAUGCUUUGUGCCUUCCAUGCAUUUCCCUAAUCUCCUCACCUAGUACUGUUUUACCUACAGUAGUAUCUAUUACUGUUUUGUAGCAAUGAGGUUUACAUUACCAAGGACACUCCGGUGAUAGAAAAAGCAAUGAUCGAUGGUGUAGAUCACACUUUUAGUGAAGUGUGUUGAGUGCGUGUUGCAUGGUUUUGAUUUUCAAGAAGGAAUUACUGCUGUAAAUGCAGUGUUAGCAAAGUCAGUGAAACUAUAUGCAUAAAUCUUCUUUUAGACUUUUUCUAAAUAAUGAAAGCAAUUUCAGGAUUAAAUGUUAUUUCACAUGUAGAUUUUUUUAAGUAUGUUCGUGGUUUAAUAUUUCAGUUACAUUUAAUUUGGUCAUUAAUGCCCAGAAAUGUAUGUCAGCUUCAUCGGAAGGAUAUUUUUGUAGAUAUAUUGUGACUGGUUUGUUCUUCUGUUAUUAGAUUUAUCUUUUGUUUUGUUUUCCUUUAAAACCUUAUUGAUUGUUGAAAACAUUUCAGUGCAUUCGGUAAUUUAACCUAUUUGUAUCCUUUUUAAACCAAUCCAGAAUAUUUUGCAUAAAGUCUAAUUUGAUUAAAGAUUUUGUGUUUUGUGUUUUCUUUAGAGUCAAUUCAGGCUCUUCAAAA